UACGAAGGGGGCUAGCGUUGCUCGGAAUUACUGGGCGUAAAGGGCGCGUAGGCGGGUGUUUAAGUCAGAGGUUAAAUCCCAGGGCUCAACCCCGGAAUUGCCUUUGAGACUGCAUCGCUAGAAUUGUGGAGAGGUAAGUGGAAUUCCGAGUGUAGAGGUGAAAUUCGUAGAUAUUCGGAAGAACACCAGUGGCGAAGGCGACUUACUGGACACAUAUUGACGCUGAGGUGCGAAAGCGUGGGGAGCAAACAGG
rnacentral:rRNA from 1 species